GAGGAAUAUUGGUCAAUGGGCGGGAGCCUGAACCAGCCAAGUCGCGUGAGGGAGGAAGGUCCUACGGAUUGUAAACCUCUUUAGCCGGGGAGCAACGUGCGCCACGCGUGGCGCAGUGAGAGUACCCGGAGAAUAAGCAUCGGCUAACUCCGUGCCAGCAGCCGCGGUAAUACAGAGGAUGCGAGCGUUAUCCGGAUUUAUUGGGUUUAAAGGGUGCGCAGGCGGCGCGAAAAGUCAGCGGUCAAAGUUCCGGGCUCAACCCGGUGACGCCGUUGAAACUUUCGUGCUGGAGUUCGUGCGAGGGAGGCGGAAUGCGUUGUGUAGCGGUGAAAUGCAUAGAUAUGACGCAGAACCCCGAUUGCGAAGGCAGCUUUCCAGCACGCGACUGACGCUGAGUCACGAAAGCGUGGGGAGCGAAC
rnacentral:rRNA from 1 species